CACGUAGGGUGCGAGCGUUGUCCGGAAUUAUUGGGCGUAAAGAGCUCGUAGGCGGUGUGUCGCGUCGGCCGUGAAAACCUGCAGCUUAACUGUGGGCUUGCGGUCGAUACGGGCAGGCUAGAGUUCGGUAGGGAGACUGGAAUUCCUGGUGUAGCGGUGAAAUGCGCAGAUAUCAGGAGGAACACCGAUAGCGAAGGCAGCUCGCUGGGACGUACUGACGCUGAGGCGCGAAAGCGUGGGAGCGAACAGG
rnacentral:rRNA from 1 species